rnacentral:rRNA from 1 species
AGCGAACGCUGGCGGCAGGCCUAACACAUGCAAGUCGAACGGAUCCUUCGGGAUUAGUGGCGGACGGGUGAGUAACACGUGGGAACGUGCCUUUUGGUUCGGAACAACGCAGAGAAAUUUGCGCUAAUACCGAAUGUGCCCUUCGGGGAAAGAUUUAUCGCCAUUAGAGCGGCCCGCGUCUGAUUAGCUAGUUGGUGAGGUAAAGGCUCACCAAGGCUACGAUCAGUAGCUGGUCUGAGAGGAUGAUCAGCCACAUUGGGACUGAGACACGGCCCAAACUCCUACGGGAGGCAGCAGUGGGGAAUCUUGCGCAAUGGGCGAAAGCCUGACGCAGCCAUGCCGCGUGAAUGAUGAAGGUCUUAGGAUUGUAAAAUUCUUUCACCGGGGACGAUAAUGACGGUACCCGGAGAAGAAGCCCCGGCUAACUUCGUGCCAG